UUGAGUUUAUCUACUUGAGGCAGGGAACCAAUUCGGGUUUUAGCCGUUUUGUGGGAGUUCAUUGAACGCCAAGAACUUUGAUCGGUCUUCAUAUCCUCGUUUUGCUUUCACGAUGGAACCACUGAGAAUGCGCAUUAUUUUUGUUGUUGAUCAAUUAAUAAGUGUUUUACUAACUUACAUUAACAUUACAAGCUUUUUCCGUUAUUUUUUACGUUUUUAGACAUUUCUAUUAGCAUUUCAACGACAGUACAUUUUCCCUUAGGGCGCGGUAACGAACUAAUGUCACACUUUUAUAAAAAAUCUAGCAAUGCCAUGCUAUCACUUACUCAGUUGAUGAAGGUGGUAACAUCCGAUAAUAUGCACACAACCUUUCACAAGAGUGAUCACUAUAAAACUGGAAUGCUACGAGGAGAGCGAAGCAUUAUUGAAGCGGAGAGUUCUAUGUAUCUUUCUUGCACAGCUACUCACACAGCUACUAGUGUCCUAUCCUAAUUGUGUGUUUCCGGCCAACAACUACAGCAGGCGAGAGGCGAAUACAUAUGUGACGGGACUCUUGCCAACGGCUUUUAUCAUCAAGUCUCUUAUAUUGACGAAUCAAGAACUAAGAAAAUAGACGCCUUAUAUGAUGAUUACAUUAAAUAUUUUUUACCGAAAUAGAAGAUAAUGUAUCGAAUUAA